rnacentral:rRNA from 1 species
GACGUAGGGGGCAAGCGUUAUUCGGAAUUAUUGGGCGUAAAGCGCUCGUAGGCGGGUCUGUAAGUCCGUGUUGAAAGACCUCGGCUCAACUGAGGGACCGGCUCGGAUACUCUAGUUCUUGAGGCAAUCAGAGGGUGAUGGAAUUCCCGGUGUAGCGGUGAAAUGCGUAGAUAUCAGGAGGAACACCGAUGGCGAAGGCAGGUCUCUGGGCCACUACUGACGCUGAGAAGCGAAAGCAUGGGGAGCGAACAGG